UAAUUUCCUUAGCAAGCAAAGGCAAUUUUUCUAUCCUGUGUUUAAUCUCAGGUUACCUAAAUAUUCUUACAUGUUUCCAAGUUACUCACUUAAGUUUAGAGGUAUAUCUAUACUUGGAAAUAUGGCAAAAUCCUCUCCCUAGUAUGUUCCUAGUAUUAUUCCCUAGGAAUAAUAUCUGUGCUCCCAAAAUAAACCUUAUAAUCCAGAAUUACUUCUGGAACAUCACCAAGGCAGGGUAAUUUCUUUGUAGUUUGGCCACCAUUUCCAAACCAACAGGCAGCAAAUCAAGUUUUCAAGUCUUAAAAAUCUUUCACUCAAGCAGAAAGUAGUUUUAUACUUCUGUGUUGAAAACUGGUACUAUUCUUGGAUCUCUUUAGAAAAUUUUGUUGGGAGGAAAUGAGGCAGCCUUCCAAGAUGAAAUAUGAAAAACCAGAAGUUGAUUAAGGUUAAGGUAAUGUAGAAAAUGUUAAUGUAGAAGACAUUUUUUAAGAAACUUCAUUUCUGUUUAAACAAGCCACAUGCUUUUGAAUGAGCUCCUGCUACCUCUCUUAUUUCCCUCUCCCUUUUUUCUCUCCCCUGAAACCUGCAGAUCUAAAUUAUUCUCUUCUGUAAGUCUAAAGUACACAGAGAAAUCUGAAGCUGUCUUAAAACAUAAUUCACAUAUUUAACCUCUACGUUUACCACUUUACCUAUAGGUGCAUAAUUCAUAGGGUUAUCUGUUGAAUACCGUUUCUUUCUCAAGACAUUUUCCCCUACUUUUUGGUGCCACUUUCUUCUAGAUUCCAUGAUUUCUGAUGAGAAAUUAACCCAGAACUUAUAUUCACUGAAAAUGUCUUUCAGGAGUGAAGAAGAAAUCAAAAUAUUCUCAGAUGAAGAAAAGCAGAGAAUUUGUCAUCAGGAGACCUGCCCUAAAAGAAUGGCCCUAAUGGAAGUUCCUAAAAAAAGAGAAGACACUGAAAACAAAAAACAAAAAAAAAAACUUGAAGUAUUAUAAAAGUAUCAUAAAGAAAGAGGAGCAUAGUAAGCAAAAAUCUACUUGCCUUCAAAAGAAGGAGGAAGAGUAGGAGGAGGAAGAGCUGCAAGAGGUGCUGUGUCACCUCUGAAAGCACCACCCUGGAGGCCCCGUGAUUUAUAAGGACAGUAGUUAAUAGUUUCUGUCAUCAGAGAGGUCAGUGUGUUCUGUUCCCAUAUUGUUCAGUUCAAUAGGCCUAUUACUUGGAAAUCAAGACGCAUUAUACCUAUGAUUACAAACAUGUCUGGGGAUGAUGACAUUGUAGAUAACUCUCCAACCACAAAGUGCAAGAAAGUUUCCCAAGCUAGAGUUUUUUCAUUAAAUGUGCACAUUUAUUUGCAUUUACACUGCCAUCGUGUUCCUGAAUCCUAUAGUUUGGUUCCCCAAAGAUGAACAGAGGACAUAAAGAUUACGUAACAUAAUAGGAACUCUAAGAAAAAGUAAGGUUGAGUUAGUGUGCAUGACAGUACCACCAAGUCACAUCACCACUGUUUGAAGUCAGCCACUUCUUUGUCAACAACUGAACAUCAAGUGUGUUUUAUCAGAGAAAAAUGGAAACUCUUCUUGGAUGCUUUUCCAAUCAGUCAAUACCAAGCAGAUUUAUUGAAUAGCAUCUAUAUAUGUGCCAGCCACUGUUGCUGGUGCAGGCACUUAUGGUGAAUUAUUCUAUCUCUGUAACAUGUUAUUUGGAGGCAAAUUGGCACUAUUCACAAAGAACUUCGGGCUUAAUUAGCAUCUAAAAAUUUUAAAUACCCAUAAUUGUAUAUGGCCAAGAAUACUACCCAUGGUUAAUUUGCAUGUUGUUCCUAUUGUCCCUAAAAUGUGAGGACACUUAACAAUAACUACUUUAUGCUACAUGAUAUUGCACACUAAACUGAGAGCAAAGAUCACUCAGCACUGAUGAAACUUGGCAUUGAGGACUUUUAAGGUCAGAAUGAACCACUAGACAGUGUAAUACCCUUUCAUCCCAUACCCAUGAAUGUCCCUUUUGAGCCUGCCUCCUGCCCAAGCUCUUGCAGCUUCAUCCCAGAGCUGCCUGGCUCCGUUAUCUCGGUCCUAAGUAGCUGUUAAAAGAACCAUUCUUCAGAGGUUCAGAGGGCUCAAGGGUUAUAUCCAACAGGCCAACUCUAUUUCAAAUAUUAAAAAAUCUUGUGCACUCUGACCAAAUUGACAUUUUCUCCCUCCCUACACAUCAGUAGCACUAAAAAUGAAGUUAUUUCCAUCUUGAGAUUCUGAACCUCAUUGUCCUUUAACAUAACAGUACUUUCAUUAAAUCCUUCCUCAGGUUCGUUGGCUGACUUCUAUUAAAGUACUUUCAACUUGUUUCCGUUUUUUAAAAAUAUAUAUAAAUAAAACAGUUACCCAAAUCCUAACUCCAAGGAAUUUCAGUAGUUCUCCAGCACUUUCAUCUUGCAACUCUGCAUCAUAUUGUAAAAAAGAAAAUGAAUUAAUGCUGUGUAAGGGAAAAUUUGUCCUUCAAAGGAAAACUAUACAUUGUCUACACAUAAGCAGAAUUAUGAUACUAUGGAAGCUAUUUUACAUCUCUGUAAGCUGUAGAUAACUGAUAGUGAUGCAAAAUAAUUAUUGCCUGUAGAAAUUCUGCUAAGAGUCAAUUGACUUUCCUCCCUUCUGUGGAGAAGCUAGGAUUCUCUUUUGAACCUAUUAAACAUCUACUUAGUUCCCUCAUUAAUUAAAGAGUUAAAUAAAAGCUUUAACAACUAUCUUA
rnacentral:lncRNA from 1 species